GCCGGCUUAGCUCAGUUGGUAGAGCACCUGAUUUGUAAUCAGGGGGUCGCAGGUUCGAGUCCUGCAGCCGGCACCA
rnacentral:tRNA from 1 species